rnacentral:rRNA from 1 species
AGUGAACGCUGGCGGCAGGCCUAACACAUGCAAGUCGAACGGCAGCACAGUAAGAGCUUGCUCUUACGGGUGGCGAGUGGCGGACGGGUGAGGAAUACAUCGGAAUCUACUCUUUCGGGGGGGAUAACGUAGGGAAACUUACGCUAAUACCGCAUACGACCUACGGGGGAAAGCAGGGGAUCGUCGGACCUGGCGCGAAUGAAUGAGCCGAUGUCGGAUUAGCUAGUGGGCGGGGUAAAGGCCCACCAAGGCGACGAUCCGUAGCUGGUCUGAGAGGAUGAUAGGCCACACUGGAACUUGAACACGGUCCAGACUCCUACGGGAGGCAGCAGUGGGGAAUAUUAGACAAUGGUCGCAAGCCUGAUCCAGCCAUACCGCGUGGGUGAAGAAGGCCUUCGGGUUGUAAAGCCCUUUUGUUGGGAAAGAAAAGCAGCAGGUUAAUACCCCGCUGUUCUGACGGUACCCAAAGAAUAAGCACCGGCUAACUUCGUG